rnacentral:rRNA from 2 species
CCAAGGAGUGCAACGUGCGCGCGAGUCUUUGGGUGGCAAACCCCUCGGCGCAGUGAAAGCGGAAGCGGGCCUCGCGCCCGCCGUGGCGAGAGCCCCGGAACUCCCGGGGCGCAUCGUCGACCGAUCCCGUUCCACGCUGUGGUGGGAUUUGAGUGAGAGCGUGCCUGUUGCGACCCGAAAGAUGGUGAACUAUGCCUGAAUAGGGCGAAGCCAGGGGAAACCCUGGUGGAAGCCCGCAGCGAUUCUGACGUGCAAAUCGAUCGUCAAAUUUGGGUAUAGGGGCGAAAGACUAAUCGAACCGUCUAGUAGCUGGUUCCCUCCGAAGUUUCCCUCAGGAUAGCUGGAGCCCGGUGCAGUUUUAUCAGGUAAAGCGAAUGAUUAGAGGUCUUGGGGUCGAAACGACUUCAACCUAUUCUCAAACUUUAAAUGGGUAAGAGGUCCGGCUUGCUCGGUUGAAGUCGGACGUGGAAUGCCGGGGCUCCUAGUGGGCCAUUUUUGGUAAGCAGAACUGGCGAUGUGGGAUGAACCGAAAGCCGGGUUAAGGUGCCCGAAUCGACGCUCAUCAGAUCCCAUGAAAGGUGUUGGUUGAUACAGACAGCAGGACGGUGGCCAUGGAAG